CCUACGGGCGGCAGCAGUGGGGAAUAUUGCACAAUGGGCGCAAGCCUGAUGCAGCCAUGCCGCGUGUGUGAAGAAGGCCUUCGGGUUGUAAAGCACUUUCAGCGGGGAGGAAGGCGUUAAGGUUAAUAACCUUGUCGAUUGACGUUACCCGCAGAAGAAGCACCGGCUAACUCCGUGCCAGCAGCCGCGGUAAUACGGAGGGUGCAAGCGUUAAUCGGAAUUACUGGGCGUAAAGCGCACGCAGGCGGUCUGUCAAGUCGGAUGUGAAAUCCCCGGGCUCAACCUGGGAACUGCAUUCGAAACUGGCAGGCUAGAGUCUUGUAGAGGGGGGUAGAAUUCCAGGUGUAGCGGUGAAAUGCGUAGAGAUCUGGAGGAAUACCGGAGGCGAAGGCGGCCCCCUGGACAAAGACUGACGCUCAGGUGCGAAAGCGUGGGGAGCAAACAGGAUUAGAUACCCGUGUAGUC
rnacentral:rRNA from 1 species